rnacentral:rRNA from 1 species
ACACGUAGGGGCCUGACGUUGUUCGGAAUCAUUGGGCGUAAAGGGCGCGCAGGCGGCCGUCCAAGUCCGGUGUUAAAUGGUCGGGCUCAACCCGAUCAUGCGCUGGAAACUGGGCGGCUUGAGUCCCGUAGGGGAUGCAGGAAUUCCAGGUGUAGGGGUGAAAUCUGUAGAUAUCUGGAAGAACACCGAUGGCGAAGGCAGGCAUCUGGCCGGAGACUGACGCUGAGGCGCGAAGGCGCGGGGAGCGAACAGGUUUAGAUACCCUGGUAGUCCGCGCAGUAAACGAUGCGCACCAGGUGUCGGGCGGCAGCGCCCGGUACCGGAGCUAACGCGAUGAGUGCGCCGCCUGGGGAGUAUGCCCGCAAGGGUGAAACUCAAAUGAAUUGACGGGG